CUUGACAUGAGCUACUCUACAAAUUCAUGACCCGGGAGGCCAAAUGGCACAAACGGGAGGCUGAGUUAACCUCAUUAAAUAGGGGAGCAGAGAAUGUUAUUAAUGUUGCCUUCAUGACUGGUAUUCGU